rnacentral:rRNA from 1 species
UACGUAGGUGGCAAGCGUUAUCCGGAAUUAUUGGGCGUAAAGCGCUCGCAGGCGGUUUCUUAAGUCUGAUGUGAAAGCCCACGGCUCAACCGUGGAGGGUCAUUGGAAACUGGGAGACUUGAGUGCAGAAGAGGAGAGUGGAAUUCCACGUGUAGCGGUGAAAUGCGUAGAGAUGUGGAGGAACACCAGUGGCGAAGGCGACUCUCUGGUCUGUAACUGACGCUGAGGAGCGAAAGCGUGGGGAGCAAAC